AGGAAUCUGCGAUGGCAAGAAAGGGUAAUAGGUGUUUCCUUUUUCAGAUCUUAACCCAUAUCUGCCUCGUCCCACUUCCAGGACUGCUCCCGUGUCCCUCAGGAAAUCCAGACCAGCAAUAAGAGGAAAUGCGAGAUCUCUGGACUGGUGAAUCGUGCCGUCCGCCAUUAUGAACCUCUGUGGACUGGAAGCACCAUCAGGAGAGAUGACACUGGAUGGGGUUGUGCUAGUGUUACUCCAGCCAGGUUUUUGUUAAAGGUACGUUCCGCAGAUUUCUUGUUGGUCUUUUCUUUGCUGCUCUGAGUGCCGACUUUUUGCCAGUAGUCUUUGGCUCCCAUGUGGUCCUUUUCCACCAUAGAUCCAACCUUCACCAG